UCGGUUAGAGCGUUUGCCACCUCCGGUCCUGAUUGACUUUGGCUCUCUGGCUCUCCAACUGGCUUCCAACCAUUAUUUUGAUAAAUAAUUGAAUAUUGUUUCAUUAUACGGCAAAACUUGCCCUGCAAAUGCAUUGUGGCUUCUGCUCCUGCCAUUCUGGCUCCUGCUGCCGACAUCAAAAUGCAAUUGACUUUUCACUAUAUUGCAACUUUGAGGUUUUACCACGGCAACCGUAUGGUCCCGACUUGAGUCGCAGUCGUUUCACCAAGCCGGCAAAGUGUUGCCCAUAAAUAGUAACUACUGCUCAAAAGUGAAGGGCUGAGCUGUAUCCUGCAGGAAUGCGGUGGUGGCGGUCAUGUGCGGUGCCCAGGAUGUCGGACACACCAAAGAGCAUUGGUGCACUGGGAGAAAGGAUGUCUUGAAAUCCAAAUCAAUCUUGGUUUGGUUUUACUUAUAACUUUACUCGUUGAAGGAUGUUGUCUAAUAUUUUUCUGUUCACUGAUAAUCGGCAUUUCUUUUAUGACAUAACAACCUGUGUUGAAACUACCAACAAAUAUAAUUUUUUUUUGUGCAACUAGA